CCUACGGGUGGCAGCAGUGGGGGAUAUUGCACAAUGGGGGAAACCCUGAUGCAGCGACGCCGCGUGUAGGAAGACGGUCCUCUGGAUUGUAAACUACUGUCCCCAGGGACGACGCUGACGGUACCUGGGGAGGAAGCUCCGGCUAACUUCGUGCCAGCAGCCGCGGUAAUACGUAGGGAGCGAGCGUUGUCCGGAAUUACUGGGGGUAAAGGGAGCGUAGGCGGGGAUGCAAGUUGGGUGUUAAAUCUACCGGCUCAACUGGUAGUCGCACUCAAAACUGCAGCUCUUGAGUGAAGUAGAGGCAGGCGGAAUUCCUAGUGGAGCGGUGAAAUGCGUAGAUAUUAGGAGGAACACCAGUGGCGAAGGCGGCCUGCUGGGCUUUUACUGACGCUGAGGCUCGAAAGUGUGGGGAGCAAACAGGAUUAGAUACCCCUGUAGUC
rnacentral:rRNA from 1 species